AGAGUUUGAGUCCUGGCUCAGGAUGAACGCUAGCGGCAGGCCUAAUACGAUGCAAGUCGACGGGAAGGCCGGCCUUCGGGCGGCUUGAGAGUGGCGCACGGGUGCGCAACGCGUAUGCAACAACCCCCGACGGGCGGAUAGCCGGUGGAAACGCCGGAUAAUACGCCAUGGUCCCGCGUGGAGGCAUCUCCAUGCGGGUAAAGCGGAGACGCGGUGGGGACGGGCAUGCGUCCCAUUAGAUGGUAGGCGGGGUGACGGCCCACCUAGUCGACGAUGGGUAGGGGAUCUGAGAGGACGGUCCCCCACACUGGUACUGAGACACGGACCAGACUCCUGCGGAGGCAGCAGUAAGGGAUAUUGGUCAAUGGUGGGAACACUGAACCAGCCAUGCCGCGUGAGGGAAUGAGGCCCUACGGGUCGUGAACCUCUUUUGUCCAGGGACAAGGAUCCGGUCGGGAACCGGAUUUGAGGGUACUGGAAGAAUAAGCGUCGGCUAACUCCGUGCC
rnacentral:rRNA from 1 species